UACCGGGGGGAAAAGAAAAUAGGAAAAGAGGGAAGGAGAGAAGAGAAGGAGAAGGGGAAGGGAGAAACCCGGCCAGGGGCCGGUCACCGGACCGGCGCCGGCGCCGGCCGCCGUGUAGAGGUAUUUUUUUCUGAUUUUUUCUCCUUUUUUUUGCUUUUUUAUUAUUUAUUAUAUUCUUGUAUGUAUAGGUGACUAAAAUGGGGUUUAAAACGAAGUAGAAAUAUAAAAAAGAGAACGGAAAAAAAAUCACCUCUCGGUCUUUUUGACUUCUGAUUCGUUGAUCUUUUGUGUUUUUUUGUUUGCCUGUAUGCUAUUUUUAUAUUUAAAUGAUGAUUGAAUCACUAUAUUGGCUCUGAAAUUGAAUGCUUUACUUCUCGUUUUUUAUUUUUCCUUACUACCGAAUCUGGAACCCUACAUUUGUUGUUUGGAUGGCUUUAUAUAGCCUAAUUUUUACAUACUUUAUUAUUAUUUUCUUUUCUUGCUUCUGUUUUGCUUGUUUGCAGAGCAUGGCCGAUGCUGCAGAGGGGGCGGUGGAGGACAUGACCGGUGGGGCGGUGCUGCAGUGCUGUCAGAGGGUAGGUUCGGCGCUGCAGGUUAAGGGUAUGGGUGGCUAGGGUUUGGUUAGUGGGUCUGAUAGGUUUAAUUGGGCUAGGGGUUUGGAUAAUUUUAGGUAUUGGGCUGAUAGUAUUGGGUUAGUGGGUUAGUUUGUUUGUAAUGGGUAUUGGGCUUGAUGGGUUAAGGUUGUAAACGGGCCUUUUGUAAUGGUAUUAGGUUAGUAGGUCUGAAUUUAGGCCCCAAAAUUGGCCUGUACAUUCUAUUUUUAAAAACGAAAUGAAAGACUAUCACACCGUACAACUGCAUUUUUUUUUCAUGGGACCAUUUGGCAGAAAUCAUGUGAUCGACUUGGUUUUUUCCCCUUGUAGUUAACGCUACAAAUUGAUGGUGGUUGUUUUUUUUUGGUACAAAAAGACAAAUUGAUGGUUGAUGAAUGUUUAGUACUGAGCUUAUUAUUCUCGUGGAUUUGUUUUUUA
rnacentral:lncRNA from 1 species